GACGAACGCUGGCGGCGUGCUUAACACAUGCAAGUCGAACGGAAAGGCCCUGCUGUUGUGGGGUGCUCGAGUGGCGAACGGGUGAGUAACACGUGAGUAACCUGCCCUUGACUUUGGGAUAACUUCAGGAAACUGGGGCUAAUACCGGAUAGGAGCUCCUGCUGCAUGGUGGGGGUUGGAAAGUUUCGGCGGUUGGGGAUGGACUCGCGGCUUAUCAGCUUGUUGGUGGGGUAGUGGCUUACCAAGGCUUUGACGGGUAGCCGGCCUGAGAGGGUGACCGGGCACAUUGGGACUGAGGUACGGUCCAGAAUCCUACGGGAGGCAGCAGUGGGGAAUAUUGCACAAUGGGCGGAAGCCUGAGGCAGCAACGCCGCGUGCGGGAUGACGGCCUUCGGGUUGUAAACCGCUUUCGCCUGUGACGAAGCGUGAGUGACGGUAAUGGGUAAAGAAGCACCGGCUAACUACGUG
rnacentral:rRNA from 1 species